rnacentral:pre_miRNA from 1 species
AGGCAGUGUAUUGUUAGUUAGCUGGCAUUCACAUACCAGCAACUAAACACACUUCCACA